UACGUAGGGUGCGAGCGUUGUCCGGAUUUAUUGGGCGUAAAGGGCGCGUAGGCGGUCAGCACAAGUCAGUUGUGAAAUCUCCGGGCUUAACUCGGAAAGGUCAACUGAUACUGUGCGACUAGAGUGCGGAAGGGGCAACUGGAAUUCUCGGUGUAGCGGUGAAAUGCGUAGAUAUCGAGAGGAACACCUGCGGCGAAGGCGGGUUGCUGGGCCGACACUGACGCUGAUGCGCGAAAGCCAGGGGAGCGAACGGG
rnacentral:rRNA from 1 species